GCCCAGUGAUGAGACCAAGGCGAAUACAAGCUAACUGAAUGAGAGUUGGGUUCUUCUUGCCUUGACUGGCAGGUAAUCUUGGCAGUGCAGAGGAGGAUUCCUGCUCUGCUGUAAGGGCCUGCCUACAGUGACUUGGCUCGAUCCAAAUUAUUCCUCUACAAUCAUAGUGGAGUAAUUGCUGGGAUGGAGCUGACAGUGUGUUGUGUGUCUGUGUGUACAUGUGUAAGAGGCAAGGAGUUCACCCAGCUCUUUGCUAUUCAGUUAGCAAUGAGUUGCUUCUUUGGUAAUCUGAGGGCA